rnacentral:lncRNA from 1 species
UUAUGAAGUCAUCUCGUCUAUUUGUUUAGGCCUUUAUUGUCUGCCUUUCCGUAAAUUCCACGAAAGCAAAGAUCUCCACAGUCCUGUUCUCGGCUGUGUCCCAGUGCCUGACACAUAGGCUCUUAAUAGAGACUUGCUAAAAGGAUGAAUUACACCCACUUUACAAAAGAGGAAACUGAGGCUCAGAGAGGCCGAUUGACUUGUCCAGCAUCAGAGGCUGAUCCACGUUUCCAGCUGGUUUCUUUGUUUUGAUAUCAUUUAUUCAUGUGUUCAACAGAUAUUUAUUUUCCCUGAUCAAUCAGGCCCUAGGGCUUUGAUGGGACGGAGCAUGCAGAUGAGGGAAUGGCUCCUAAUCCCACCCAGAAUGGGGGCAAAGAAGGUUUCCUGGAUAUUAGUGAGAACUGGAGGACCGGUCUGGGAAAGGGGAGAAGGCUAAUCCAGGCAGAGGACAGCAUGUGCAGAGACUCAGAGUAUGCAGAAACCACCUCCAGUAAUGCCUGCCUCUGUUUUCUUUCCGCAAUGCCAAGACCUCAGGAUGAAGCAAAGCUCAGAGAGCACAGUUGGGUAAACUGAGGCAUGGGAAGGCUAUGGAGCACACCCAAGGUCACAAGUUAGGAGGAGGUGAAGCCAAGAACAGCACCCAGGCUGGCUGCAGAGAGGAAUCAAGGACCAAGUGCAGACCUCAAGAAGCAGCUGGCUGGAAAACCAGAGGGACUGAGGUUGGAUAGCAGACCCUGUCUGUCUGGUGGUGACCCCCCACCAAAUAGCUAUGGAACUGUCCAGAGACCAGUCUCUGCACCCCCAGGCAAGAUCCCUUCCACAGGCCUCUAGGGUGGAGGAUGCCAAAGCCACCCCCAUCCACUCUCCCCAGCAUCUCCCAACAUGUGAGGGCCGUGAUGGACACGAGUUCCACACCAGAUGCUGCUGUUG